rnacentral:lncRNA from 1 species
UCGAACUUCUAAAAAUGGCACUACAAGCAGAAGUUAAAAGAGUUGCUGAAAUAUUGAACUCUAUGAAAGUAAUGGGAGAUUUUAUUAUAACUCAUGGAUUGUUUAUCAAAUAUGUUAGCAAUUCUUUUUCAAAAAAAUAUAUGUUAGCAAUUCCAGUUUAGGUUGCUUCUGCAGAAUUUGUUUUUUAAAGUUGAAGUUGAUAAAAAUAUUUACGAUUUACUAUAUGUCACAAAAGAGACUGAAUGGGAACUAGAAGAUGUGUUUUUAACAAAUAAAAAUUUAUUAGGGUUACAUUUGAAAAAAAUGCUUCAGGCCAC